rnacentral:rRNA from 1 species
GGAGGAAAAGAAACCAACAGGGAUUGCCUCAGUAGCGGCGAGUGAAGCGGCAAAAGCUCAAAUUUGAAAUCUGGCGUCUUUGGCGUCCGAGUUGUAAUUUGAAGAAGGUAUCUUUGGGCCCGGCUCUUGUCUAUGUUCCUUGGAACAGGACGUCACAGAGGGUGAGAAUCCCGUGCGAUGAGAUGGCCCGGGUCUAUGUAAAGUUCCUUCGACGAGUCGAGUUGUUUGGGAAUGCAGCUCUAAGUGGGUGGUAAAUUCCAUCUAAAGCUAAAUAUUGGCGAGAGACCGAUAGCGAACAAGUACAGUGAUGGAAAGAUGAAAAGAACUUUGAAAAGAGAGUGAAAAAGUACGUGAAAUUGUUGAAAGGGAAGGGCUUGAGAUCAGACUUGGUAUUUUGCAAGUUACUCUUUCGGGGGUGGCCUCUGCGGUUUACCGGGCCAGCAUCGGUUUGGAGCGGUAGGAUAAUGGCGGGGGAAUGUGGCACGACUUUGGUUGUGUGUUAUAGCCUCUGACGAUACUGCCAGCCUAGACCGAGGACUGCGGUUU